UAGGAAUCUUAAGAUGAUUUCCUUUUCAAAGUUUCUGAGCUAACUGAAAUUGUGGUGAGCUUCAAUUGAGUUGGAGGGAAUGACAAAUCCGUCCACUGACAAAAAUAUGGUGAAUAUACUUCUACAUCUCUAUACUAGAAAUAGAUUUCUGCUCUUUCAAUUUUCUUUUUGUAUAUAUAAGGUGUAAAAAUGUUAACAUUGUGAUUUCUUCAUACACAUGCUAAUUUGUUUUUUUUUUUUGGUUUGUGUGUGUGAUUUACAAAAUACCGGAGAUAAGAAGAAGCCAACAUGCAGUAUUUAUCCAUCUGUAUGUGGCUGCAGCGGUAACUAGAAGUGGUGGGUAAGGGUGAGCAGGGGCAGGUGUUUGAAGAGAUGUAACAUAUACACUGUGAUCGUUGUGUAAGCUGCCCAUAGCUUCAUCUGCUGUUCUCCCGGCAAUGGAUCUCAUUAUUCUCCAUUGAUCAACAGCAUGCAAUUGAUCAUAAGUGCAGGGAAAAUCAAUACAUGGAUUUCAACCAAAUGGUGAUAUGCAACAAGUUCCUUUGGUGGCUGCAAAACUAAUGAUCUCAACAGGAAGAGAAGCUCUUUCGAUGCAACCAACGAUUUUUCAGAAGAGCCAAUAAUCCUUUUCUAAAAUUUUCUCUCAUUCACAACUAGAUUUGGUUGUUCUGUAUGCUUCUAUCUAUGUGUGCAUGUUGUUUCCGGUCAAUUUCAUUUGCAUAGAGAGAUUGGAGAAUGGCUAGGUACAAAAUUUAUGGAUAUAUAAUUGACAAAGGUUAUUAUGUC